rnacentral:rRNA from 1 species
UAGGGAAUCUUCCACAAUGGACGCAAGUCUGAUGGAGCAACGCCGCGUGAGUGAAGAAGAUCUUCGGNUCGUAAAACUCUGUUGUUAGAGAAGAACACGAGUGAGAGCAACUGUUCAUUCGAUGACGGUAUCUAACCAGCAAGUCACGGCUAACUACGUGCCAG